UACAGAGGGGGCGAGCGUUGUUCGGAAUUACUGGGCGUAAAGGGCGCGUAGGCGGCCUGCUAAGUCAUACGUGAAAUCCCUCGGCUCAACCGGGGAACUGCGUGUGAUACUGGCGGGCUUGAAUCCGGGAGAGGAAUGCGGAAUUCCAGGUGUAGCGGUGAAAUGCGUAGAUAUCGUAAGGAAGACCAGUGGCGAAGGCGGGGUCUCUGGACAGUUCCUGACGCUGAGGCACGAAGGCCAGGGGAGCAAACGGGG
rnacentral:rRNA from 1 species